rnacentral:rRNA from 1 species
UACGUAGGUGGCAAGCGUUGUCCGGAAUUAUUGGGCGUAAAGCGCGCGCAGGCGGUCCUUUAAGUCUGAUGUGAAAUCCCGUGGCUUAACCACGGGCGGUCAUUGGAAACUGGGGGACUUGAGUGCAGAAGAGAAGAGCGGAAGUCCACGUGUAGCGGUGAAAUGCGUAGAGAUGUGGAGGAACACCAGUGGCGAAGGCGGCUCUUUGGUCUGUAACUGACGCUGAGGCGCGAAAGCGUGGGGAGCGAACAGG